rnacentral:rRNA from 1 species
AGUGAACGCUGGCGGUAGGCCUAACACAUGCCAGUCGAACGGCAGCACAGUAAGAGCUUGCUCUUACGGGUGGCGAGUGGCGGACGGGUGAGGAAUACAUCGGAAUCUACUUUUUCGUGGGGGAUAACGUAGGGAAACUUACGCUAAUACCGCAUACGACCUACGGGUGAAAGCAGGGGAUCUUCGGACCUUGCGCGAUUGAAUGAGCCGAUGUCGGAUUAGCUAGUUGGCGGGGUAAAGGCCCACCAAGGCGACGAUCCGUAGCUGGUCUGAGAGGAUGAUCAGCCAGACUGGAACUGAGACACGGUCCAGACUCCUACGGGAGGCAGCAGUGGGGAAUAUUGGACAAUGGGCGCAAGCCUGAUCCAGCCAUACCGCGUGGGUGAAGAAGGCCUUCGGGUUGUAAAGCCCUUUUGUUGGGAAAGAAAAGCAGCAGGUUAAUACCCCGCUGUUCUGACGGUACCCAAAGAAUAAGCACCGGCUAACUUCGUG